GGGUAGAGCACUGUUUCGGCUAGGGGGCCAUCCCGGCUUACCAACCCGAUGCAAACUGCGAAUACCGGAGAAUGUUAUCACGGGAGACACACGGCGGGUGCUAACGUCCGUCGUGAAGAGGGAAACAACCCAGACCGCCAGCUAAGGUCCCAAAGUCAUGGUUAAGUGGGAAACGAUGUGGGAAGGCCCAGACAGCCAGGAUGUUGGCUUAGAAGCAGCCAUCAUUUAAAGAAAGCGUAAUAGCUCACUGGUCGAGUCGGCCUGCGCGGAAGAUGUAACGGGGCUAAACCAUGCACCGAAGCUGCGGCAGCGACACUUUAGUGUUGUUGGGUAGGGGAGCGUUCUGUAAGCCGUUGAAGGUGUCCUGUGAGGGGUGCUGGAGGUAUCAGAAGUGCGAAUGCUGACAUAAGUAACGAUAAAGCGGGUGAAAAGCCCGCUCGCCGGAAGACCAAGGGUUCCUGUCCAACGUUAAUCGGGGCAGGGUGAGUCGACCCCUAAGGCGAGGCCGAAAGGCGUAGUCGAUGGGAAACGGGUUAAUAUUCCCGUACUUGGUGUUACUGCGAAGGGGGGACGGAGAAGGCUAUGUUGGCCGGGCGACGGUAGUCCCGGUUUAAGCGUGUAGGUGUGUGUUCCAGGCAAAUCCGGUUCACUUUAACACUGAGGCGUGAUGACGAGGCACCACGGUGCUGAAGCAACAAAUGCCCUGCUUCCAGGAAAAGCCUCUAAGCAUCAGGUAACAUCAAAUCGUACCCCAAACCGACACAGGUGGUCAGGUAGAGAAUACCAAGGCGCUUGAGAGAACUCGGGUGAAGGAACUAGGCAAAAUGGUGCCGUAACUUCGGGAGAAGGCACGCUGACACGUAGGUGAAGUGAUUUACUCACGGAGCUGAAGUCAGUCGAAGAUACCAGCUGGCUGCAACUGUUUAUUAAAAACACAGCACUGUGCAAACACGAAAGUGGACGUAUACGGUGUGACGCCUGCCCGGUGCCGGAAGGUUAAUUGAUGGGGUCAGCGCAAGCGAAGCUCCUGAUCGAAGCCCCGGUAAACGGCGGCCGUAACUAUAACGGUCCUAAGGUAGCGAAAUUCCUUGUCGGGUAAGUUCCGACCUGCACGAAUGGCGUAAUGAUGGCCAGGCUGUCUCCACCCGAGACUCAGUGAAAUUGAACUCGCUGUGAAGAUGCAGUGUACCCGCGGCAAGACGGAAAGACCCCGUGAACCUUUACUAUAGCUUGACACUGAACAUUGAGCCUUGAUGUGUAGGAUAGGUGGGAGGCUUUGAAGCGUGGACGCCAGUCUGCGUGGAGCCGACCUUGAAAUACCACCCUUUAAUGUUUGAUGUUCUAACGUGGACCCGUAAUCCGGGUUGCGGACAGUGUCUGGUGGGUAGUUUGACUGGGGCGGUCUCCUCCUAAAGAGUAACGGAGGAGCACGAAGGUUGGCUAAUCCUGGUCGGACAUCAGGAGGUUAGUGCAAUGGCAUAAGCCAGCUUGACUGCGAGCGUGACGGCGCGAGCAGGUGCGAAAGCAGGUCAUAGUGAUCCGGUGGUUCUGAAUGGAAGGGCCAUCGCUCAACGGAUAAAAGGUACUCCGGGGAUAACAGGCUGAUACCGCCCAAGAGUUCAUAUCGACGGCGGUGUUUGGCACCUCGAUGUCGGCUCAUCACAUCCUGGGGCUGAAGUAGGUCCCAAGGGUAUGGCUGUUCGCCAUUUAAAGUGGUACGCGAGCUGGGUUUAGAACGUCGUGAGACAGUUCGGUCCCUAUCUGCCGUGGGCGCUGGAAGACUGAGGGGGGCUGCUCCUAGUACGAGAGGACCGGAGUGGACGCAUCACUGGUGUUCGGGUUGUCAUGCCAAUGGCACUGCCCGGUAGCUAAAUGCGGAAAAGAUAAGUGCUGAAAGCAUCUAAGCACGAAACUUGCCC
rnacentral:rRNA from 1 species